rnacentral:rRNA from 1 species
AUUGAACGCUGGCGGCAUGCUUUACACAUGCAAGUCGAACGGUAACAGGUCUUCGGAUGCUGACGAGUGGCGAACGGGUGAGUAAUACAUCGGAACGUGUCUAGUAGUGGGGGAUAACUACUCGAAAGAGUAGCUAAUACCGCAUGAGAUCUACGGAUGAAAGCAGGGGACCUUCGGGCCUUGUGCUACUAGAGCGGCUGAUGGCAGAUUAGGUAGUUGGUGGGGUAAAGGCUUACCAAGCCUGCGAUCUGUAGCUGGUCUGAGAGGACGACCAGCCACACUGGGACUGAGACACGGCCCAGACUCCUACGGGAGGCAGCAGUGGGGAAUUUUGGACAAUGGGCGAAAGCCUGAUCCAGCAAUGCCGCGUGCAGGAUGAAGGCCCUCGGGUUGUAAACUGCUUUUGUACGGAACGAAAAGCCUGGGGCUAAUAUCCCCGGGUCAUGACGGUACCGUAAGAAUAAGCACCGGCUAACUACGUG